UACGGAGGGUGCAAGCGUUGCUCGGAAUUAUUGGGCGUAAAGGGUAGGUAGGUGGUCUCGUUUGUCUGGGGUGAAAGCCUUGGGCUUAACUCAAGAAGUGCCCCAGAAACGGCGAGACUAGAGUAUUGGAGAGGGUCGUGGAAUUCCCGGUGUAGCGGUGAAAUGCGUAGAGAUCGGGAGGAACACCAGCGGCGAAGGCGGCGACCUGGACAAUUACUGACACUCAACUACGAAAGCGUGGGGAGCAAACAGG
rnacentral:rRNA from 1 species